rnacentral:rRNA from 1 species
GGAGUUGCUGUGUAUCAACAGGAGGUUGGCUUAGAAGCAGCCAUCCUUUAAAGAAAGCGUAACAGCUCACUGGUCAAGCGAUUCUGCGCCGAAAAUAUAACGGGGCUAAAAUAGACACCGAAGCUGUAGACUUGAUCGUAUUCAAGUGGUAGGAGAGCGUUCUAAUCAGCGUUGAAGCUAUAUCGGUAAGAAGUAGUGGAGCGGUUAGAAGUGAGCAUGCAGGCAUGAGUAGCGAGAAAAGGGGUGAGAAUCCCCUUCGCCGAAAACCCAAGGGUUCCUACACGAUGCUCGUCAAUGUAGGGUUAGUCGGGUCCUAAGCUGAGUCCGAAAGGGGUAAGCGAUGGAAAAUCGGUUAAUAUUCCGAUACCAACUAUAGAGCGUGAUGGGAGGACGCAUAGGGCUAUGUGAGGUCACUGAUGGAAUAGUGGCUCGAAGGGUGUAGGCUGGGAGAGAAAGGAAAAUCCACUCUCCUAUAGCUGAGACCUGACAGGCUGUGGAGGCUUUUAGGAGCCAAAACAGAAUCACAGAUGCCGAAGUGCCAAGAAAAGUCUCUAAGCAUAUCUAUAGUUGCCCGUACCGUAAACCGACACAGGUGGGUGAGAUGAGAAUUCUAAGGCGCGUGGAAGAACCAUUGUAAGGAACUCUGCAAACUAGCACGUAUCUUCGGUAUAAGGUGUGCUACUUAGGUGAAGCUCCUAGCGAGUGGAGCCUGAGAGGUUGCAACAAAGAGUCCCUCCCGACUGUUUAUCAAAAACACAGCACUAUGCUAACUCGUAAGAGGAUGUAUAUGGUGUGACGCCUGCCCGGUGCCGGAAGGUUAAAUGAUGGGGUUAGCCGUGAGGCGAAGCUCUUGAUUGAAGCCCCGGUAAACGGCGGCCGUAACUAUAACGGUCCUAAGGUAGCGAAAUUCCUUGUCGGUUAAAUACCGACCUGCAUGAAUGGCGUAACGAGAUGGGAGCUGUCUCAACAAUGGAUCCAGUGAAAUUGUAGUGGAGGUGAAAAUUCCUCCUACCCGCGGCAAAGACGGAAAGACCCCGUGCACCUUUACUACAGCUUGACACUGCAAUCGGGAUAGAUAUGUGCAGGAUAGGUGGGAGGCUAAGAAGCUAGGACGCUAGUCCUAGUGGAGCCAACCUUGAGAUACCACCCUUAUCUAUUCUGGUUGCUAACUUGCGAGUGUUAUCCACUCGGAGGACAAUGUCUGGUGGGUAAGUUGACUGGGGCGGUCGCCUUCCUUAAAAAGUAACGGAGGGCUUAACAAAGGGUUAAGUCCAUAUGGGUUGGGAAAUCCAUAGAAGAGUAUAAUGGCAUAAAACUAAGCUUAAACUUGCGAGACAGACAAGUCGAGCAGAGAACGAAAGUCGGCCAUAGAGAUCCGGGGGUCUGAGUGGAAGGGCCAUC